GGGUGUAUAGCUCAGUUGGUAGAGCGAUGGUCUCCAAAACCAUAUGUCAUCGGUUCGAUUCCGAUUGCGCCUG
rnacentral:tRNA from 1 species